ACCGUUUUCUUCUCUAAACUCUUGUGCAUGCCUCUUGAUGGCGAUUUCAAGGCUGCCCAGGCAGCGAUUGGUGGAGUUUGCUUUGAGGGCGUAUUUGUUCGGAGGCACCCCUGGUACUGCAUGUUGGCUCAGAUUUCAUUUGCUGGGUGACUUUUCACGAAAGACACCGAAUGCUACAUCCUACCCAGAUCUGAUGCUCGGUCCAGCUUUAAGAGUUGCCGCCCGCCCAAGGGACUGUUACAGACCCUCACGGAGUCUAAUCCCUUGGGCCCUGAGACCGAGUUAAUCAAGACUGCCUCUCGGCCGCCGCUGCGGGAACCGAGCGGCUUGGGGUGGGGAGAUCGAGGUGGUGUUCUGACCCACAGUCAUCGAUCGGGUCGGGAGUGACAGCACGCGGUUCUCCCAUCCGUGCGGGGGAUGCGCCCGCCACGCGCCGAGGAAGUGGGCCUCUCUUGGGGGGCAGUUCUCUCCCGAGAGCCGCCGGAUAAUCACGGCGGCGCGGAGGGGAGCUGCUUCCGAGCCGGCGCCCUGCAAACGCGAGAAGAGUCCUCCCCAGCGGGAGCGGGGCGGGCCUCGGCUGUUAGCAGAGGAGAUCGCGGAGUCUGGAGCAGCCGAACCAGGUGGUGAUACUUGUUCUCAUCUCAGCCUGGUAGCCUGACCUUGACUCCUGAGUUCUGUGAUGCCUUGACAACUGCAAGUCAUUCUCAUAUGAAAUUUGAGUUUACCUGGUCUGCACCUUUGAGAGUUUCAGAACAAUAUGCAAAUUCCAGUUACCAUCAUGCUGUCUUGUUGAGUAUCUCACAUGACAGGACCAACAUUUGGGUUGCUUGCUGGUACCCUGGUUCUUCUACUGUUUCUUCCUUCUGCUGCCGUCAAUCGCACACAUGUAUAGUCAUGCCAAAGCUACUUUACCCUUUUUAUUUGUCUUGUGAAUGUUGUCAUUUGCUCUUUAUAUGUUAGUGCUGUGUAUUGCUCAGUGACAGAAAACUUUCAAUAGCUGUAAUUUUGUGUAAGUUUGAAUAAGAAUGGUAUCCAAGCAAAAAACCAAGAAGGUAAAUGAUAGAGAGGCAAGAAGGGUGAAGAGGACAAAAAAGGUGGCAAACAAAAUGAGAAUUCUUGAAAUGCUUGAUAAUGGUGAAACCAAGACCUCUGUAGGGCAUUUUUGGGUGCUAAUGAAUCAAUAAAGAAAAAUGAGAAAGCUAUUAAGGCCAGUGCAUGAGGGGCACACCAGAAUCAUUGAGAAAAUAUGACAACUCAAAAUGCCAAAAUAGAAAAAAAGGAAAGAGAUUUGCAUUUGUGGCUUCUAAAACAGAAAAGGCUUAAUAGAGCUCUUUCUGUGUGUAAAAUCUGCUAACAAGCAUCACAAACAUGCAAAUUUAAAUUUUGAUCUGGAUGGAAAAUUAUAAAAUUUAUCAUGAGUAGUAGGUGGUGGGAUAGGUUUAGGAACCGCCAUGGUCUGUAUGAAAAGACAUGGCUUGCAGAGGAAGCAGAUCAUGAAGCCACUGCAGAAUAUUGAAGGAACGGAUAGAAAAAAAUGUCUAUAUGCCUGAACAGGUCUACAAUGCUGAUGAAACAAUCUUGUUCUGGAAGCGCAUGCCCCUACUUGCACAUCUGUUGCAAAGGAGGAGACAAAGACCAGAGGCUUGAAGCCUGGGAAAGAUAAGCUCCAAAGUUCUUUGUUCCAAUGCUUCUGGUGACUGUCUGACUAAACCCGUGCUGCUUCACAAGUUCCGAAAUUCUUGCCCUCUUAAAAGAAAAUGCCAGAAACCCUUUUCUGUGUAUAUGCAGGGAAGCCAUAAGAUAUGGAUCACUGAGAAAUUCUUUUUGGAUUGGUUUUUGAAGUGUUUUGUUCCUGAGGUUAAACAAUAUUUAAACCAAAAACAUCUUGAAUUCAAAUUGUUGCUGAUUCUGAACAUGGCUCCCACUGAUAAAAAUGUGAUAGUAAAUGCUGAUCUUUGUGUUAAAGUCAUCUCCAUUUACCCCAGUACAACUCCAUUCCUUCAACCCAUGCACUUGGGAGUAUAUUUGACUACCUGGCAACUCUUAGGAGAGAGACACCUGAAAUUACUGUGAAAGUUGCUUGGCAAAAUUUCUCCAUAUGUAAUAGUUUAAUGAUAGUAGAAGAGUCAGUGAGAGAAAUAAAACAAUCAGCCCUUAAUGGAGCCUGGCAGAAAUUUCAGAAUGAGGUUGUAACUAAUUCUGAAAGUUUCCUUCCAGUGCCAGAAGAAACUGAAAAUGUUGUAGCAUCUGCAAAAUGAUUGGGUGGUGAAGGAUUUGAAGACAGUGAAUUAAGUGACAUUGCUGAACUAUUAGAUUCUCACCCUCAGAAGAUAGUUGAGAAAUAUUUCAACUGUCAGAGACGUGAUCACAUCACAAGUUGAUGAAAGAGGGAGAAGAGGCUGGACCAUCGGACUGCAUCAUGCAAACCCAUUCUACAAAUAGCAGACAGAACGACCUCAUACAGACAGUGGAACCCUGGGAUUCAGGCUCUGACAGCUUUGAUGAUGUGAUGAUCCAUGCAGGAGACUGAGCUUACUCAUAUGCAGAUAAAAUCCUGUUUUCUCCAUUCUUUCCCUGUCACUACUGUGAUGAUCGGCCUUUUCAGUGAUGUUAUUCUUCACCUUGAGCUCAGAGAGAAAUAGAAAUUAGUUGCCCACCAAUAACAAUUGCUAAUGUAAAAUCGUAAAACUCCAUCAAGGCUCACUUUACUUAGUGUUUUAUUCUGAUGAACAAACCAAUUGUCUGGGCUUUUAUAAUACUCCCUUCCCUCCCCCAAUUUCCCCCCAAAACUUAUAAAUUCCUCCAACACAAAUUCCCCUACAAGGAGGGUUUAAGUAACUCAACUGUAGGACCUAAGGAGGGGGCUACUCAGUUUGAUAAGUCUUUGACCCUAAAAUUUAUUUUAACUCUGUUUAAGCCUAACUUGCUGUCUCAACAAAAAGGAUACAAAUCCCCUUGUUAAUUCAUUUGGUAUAAGUUCAUUUGUUUUGCAGCAGUUGUAUAAGGUACCGAAAGGCAUGGUGUGUCCUGGAAGGCAGUACAUUUAUAGUGGAUUCCUGGAUUUACUUUGGUACCUAAUCAAGGAGGAGAAGCUGCAAGAGUUCAUUGCCAUCCAUCCUCUCUGUUCUCAUAUCUGGUCUUCCAAGUGAUUUAAAUGGUUGAAUAUCCUCUUCCCUAAAGUUGGUAGAAAUCCAGUAAGUUUUCCCCUAGCCUGGAAAAUCUGAAAGAUAGGUCCCCUAUAUCUGAGUUUGCAGUGAUCAGAGAAAGGGGACAAGAAUACAAAAGUUAAAAGUCUUGGCUUGUGUAGUUACAGUUGGGAUGACAGACAUUCCUCAACAUGUUCCAAAGAGGCAGAUGAGUGUUGAAAACCCAUUAUUGGGUGAUAGGGACCUAAGGACUCACCACAGUGCCAGGGUAGCUUACACUCUUCUCUAAGUCACAGUGGUUUUCAACACUGGCUGCCCAUCAAAAUUGUUAUGGGGAACUUCAAAAGCAGAUUUCUGGGAUCUGUCCCUAGACGUGCUAAAUUGGGGAUUAGGCCAGCAGCUGUUGAUUUUGAAAGCUACUCAAGCAGUUUUUUAAUAGAGUCAUGGCUGGAAACCACUGCUGUUGAAAACCAUAAUUAUGAUAGAAAAUAUACCACAAAUGAUAGUGAGCCCAGAGGGCAGGAAACCUCUAUUCCAAGUUUCUGCUCUGCCACAGGCUCAGUGGAUGCUCUUAUUCGAAUCAUCCUACUCUUUCCUUAUCUGUCCAAGGAGAGAAUAGGAACACUUGGUCUCUGAGGUCCUUCUAUCCCUGACAUUGUUACCUUGAGAGAAAGGUACAUCAGCCUCAUUGGUUGAUUUUGAGACUACCUAAGCCCUUUCAUAGAGAUCAAGUUAAGUAGUAAUACUACUGUCUUGUACUCUUGUUAUUUUAAAAAUGGUUCUUGCGACUCAGGCUUUCUUAUGUUUUACUCCCUCUCAGAAAACAGUUAGUCACAGAUGCCAUAGAAGAAAGGGAAACCAACGUAACAUCAACUCUGAGUUACAGGGUUUGCAUUAUAUAUAUAAUGCAUAGACAUUGUCAAUAAAACGAGAUAUUUUGUUUCGUUUCCAUAAACCAGAGCAGAGAAAUAUGUUAACUGUUUCAAGUUUCCAUGGAUAACUGGGGUACUCUUAAUCAUACCUAGAGGCAAAUAUUUUUAAGUGAAUGAUUGUUUUAUCAGUAUAAUCAGCAGUUCUAUAUGGUUUUAAAGAAUGUAGUUUCUUGAUAAGUUUAUCAUUUAUUGACAUUAUUGCAUUGGCAAGUUUUUGUCUUAAUUUGACCAGAAUUAGAGAAAUAAAACUUUAAGUUGAAUAGCAUCCAUCAGGAACUGUUAAUAUAAAAUAAUACAAUGGGAAACUGACUAUUAUAUGAUUCUGGUGGUGGUAGGAAUGCCUAGACUUUGGCUUGAUAUAUGGAAACAUUUGUCUAGGGCCUAGACCAUUUGAAAAUACUGGGGUAGAUCUAAUUCUUGUUUAUGGCAAUAUCCAUUUCAAAUAAUUUAAGAAAUAUCACUGAUGAGGGUAAAAGACCAUUUUAAUAUGGUUCAGUCUAGCAAGUCAGCAGAGCUUCCGAGGUGGCUCAGUGGUAAAAGAAUCUGCCUGCCAGUGCAGGAGAUGCAAGAGAUCGGGGUUCCAUUCCUGGGUCAGGAAGAUCCCCUGGAGAAGGGAAUGGCAACCCACUCCAGUAUUCU